CCUACGGGUGGCAGCAGUGAGGAAUAUUGGUCAAUGGGCGGAAGCUUGAACCAGCCAAGUCGCGUGAGGGAAUAAGGCCCUACGGGUCGUAAACCUCUUUUGCCGGGGAGCAAGGGCGGGGACGUGUCCCGGCCCGGAGAGUACCCGGAGAAAAAGCAUCGGCUAACUCCGUGCCAGCAGCCGCGGUAAUACGGAGGAUCCAAGCGUUAUCCGGAUUUAUUGGGUUUAAAGGGUGCGUAGGCGGAUUGAUAAGUUAGAGGUGAAAUGUCCGGGCUUAACUCGGGAACUGCCUCUAAUACUGUUGAUCUAGAGAGUAGAUGCGGUAGGCGGAAUGUAUGGUGUAGCGGUGAAAUGCUUAGAGAUCAUACAGAACACCGAUUGCGAAGGUAGCUUACCAAUCUAUAUCUGACGUUGAGGCACGAAAGCGUGGGGAGCAAACAGGAUUAGAUACCCCAGUAGUC
rnacentral:rRNA from 1 species